rnacentral:tRNA from 1 species
GCGCCGGUAGUAUAACCUGGUAGUACAUUAGCCUUCCAAGCUAACCGUCCGGGUUCAAAUCCCGGCCGGCGCA